rnacentral:rRNA from 1 species
CCUACGGGAGGCAGCAGUGAGGAAUAUUGGUCAAUGGGCUUACGCCUGAACCAGCCAAGUCGCGUGAGGGAAGACUGCCCUAUGGGUUGUAAACCUCUUUUGUCAGGGAGCAACGCCGGCUACGUGUAGCCGGACUGAGAGUACCUGCAGAAAAAGCAUCGGCAAACUCCGUGCCAGCAGCCGCGGUAAUACGGAGGAUGCGAGCGUUAGCCGGAUUUAUGGGGUUUAAGGGUGGCGUAGGCGGAAUGCCAAGUCAGCGGUAAAAUCGCGGGGCUCAACCUCGCUCCGCCGUUGAAACUGGCGUUCUUGAGUGGGCGAGAAGUAUGCGGAAUGCGUGGUGUAGCGGUGAAAUGCAUAGAUAUCACGCAGAACUCCGAUUGCGAAGGCAGCAUACCGGCGCCCAACUGACGCUGAAGCACGAAAGCGUGGGUAUCGAACAGGAUUAGAUACCCGUGUAGUC